rnacentral:rRNA from 1 species
AGUGAACGCUGGCGGUAGGCCUAACACAUGCCAGUCGAACGGCAGCACAGUAAGAGCUUGCUCUUACGGGUGGCGAGUGGCGGACGGGUGAGGAAUACAUCGGAAUCUACUUUUUCGUGGGGGAUAACGUAGGGAAACUUACGCUAAUACCGCAUACGACCUACGGGUGAAAGCAGGGGAUCUUCGGACCUUGCGCGAUUGAAUGAGCCGAUGUCGGAUUAGCUAGUUGGCGGGGUAAAGGCCCACCAAGGCGACGAUCCGUAGCUGGUCUGAGAGGAUGAUCAGCCACACUGGAACUGAGACACGGUCCAGACUCCUACGGGAGGCAGCAGUGGGGAAUAUUGGAUAAUGGGCGCAAGCCUGAUCCAGCCAUACCGCGUGGGUGAAGAAGGCCUUCGGGUUGUAAAGCCCUUUUGUUGGGAAAGAAAAGCAGCAGGUUAAUACCCCGCUGUUCUGACGGUACCCAAAGAAUAAGCACCGGCUAACUUCGUG